CACGUAGGCACCAAGCGUUGUCCGGAUUUAUUGGGCGUAAAGAGCUCGUAGGCGGUUCAGUAAGUCGGGUGUGAAAACUCUGGGCUUAACCCAGAGCCGCCACCCGAUACUGCUGUGACUAGAGUCCGGUAGGGGAGUGGGGAAUUCCUAGUGUAGCGGUGAAAUGCGCAGAUAUUAGGAGGAACACCGGUGGCGAAGGCGCCACUCUGGGCCGGAACUGACGCUGAGGAGCGAAAAGCGUGGGUAGCAAACAGG
rnacentral:rRNA from 1 species